rnacentral:rRNA from 1 species
UUAGAGUUUGUUCCUGGCUCAGAACGAACGCUGGCGGCGUGGAUAAGACAUGCAAGUCGAACGAGAGAAUUGCUAGCUUGCUAAUAAUUCUCUAGUGGCGCACGGGUGAGUAACACGUGAGUAACCUGCCCCCGAGAGCGGGAUAGCCCUGGGAAACUGGGAUUAAUACCGCAUAGUAUCGAAAGAUUAAAGCAGCAAUGCGCUUGGGGAUGGGCUCGCGGCCUAUUAGUUAGUUGGUGAGGUAACGGCUCACCAAGGCGAUGACGGGUAGCCGGUCUGAGAGGAUGUCCGGCCACACUGGAACUGAGACACGGUCCAGACACCUACGGGUGGCAGCAGUCGAGAAUCAUUCACAAUGGGGGAAACCCUGAUGGUGUGACGCCGCGUGGGGGAAUGAAGGUCUUCGGAUUGUAAACCCCUGUCAUGUGGGAGCAAAUUAAAAAGAUAGUACCACAAGAGGAAGAGACGGCUAACUCUGUGCCAGCAGCCGCGGUAAUACAGAGGUCUCAAGCGUUGUUCGGAAUCACUGGGCGUAAAGCGUGCGUAGGCUGUUUCGUAAGUCGUGUGUGAAAGGCGCGGGCUCAACCCGCGGACGGCACAUGAUACUGCGAGACUAGAGUAAUGGAGGGGGAACCGGAAUUCUCGGUGUAGCGGUGAAAUGCGUAGAUAUUGAGAGGAACACUCGUGGCGAAGGCGGGUUCCUGGACAUUAACUGACGCUGAGGCACGAAGGCCAGGGGAGCGAAAGGGAUUAGAUACCCCUGUAGUCCUGGCAGUAAACGGUGCACGCUUGGUGUGCGGGGAAUCGACCCCCUGCGUGCCGGAGCUAACGCGUUAAGCGUGCCGCCUGGGGAGUACGGUCGCAAGAUUAAAACUCAAAGAAAUUGACGGGGACCCGCACAAGCGGUGGAGUAUGUGGCUUAAUUCGAUGCAACGCGAAGAACCUUACCUGGGCUUGACAUGUAAUGAACAACAUGUGAAAGCAUGCGACUCUUCGGAGGCGUUACACAGGUGCUGCAUGGCCGUCGUCAGCUCGUGUCGUGAGAUGUUUGGUUAAGUCCAGCAACGAGCGCAACCCCUGUUGCCAGUUACCAGCACGUGAAGGUGGGGACUCUGGCGAGACUGUCCAGAUCAACUGGGAGGAAGGUGGGGACGACGUCAGGUCAGUAUGGCCCUUAUGCCCAGGGCUGCACACGUACUACAAUGCCCAGUACAGAGGGGGCCGAAGCCGCGAGGCGGAGGAAAUCCUGAAAACUGGGCCCAGUUCGGACUGUAGGCUGCAACCCGCCUACACGAAGCCGGAAUCGCUAGUAAUGGCGCAUCAGCUACGGCGCCGUGAAUACGUUCCCGGGUCUUGCACACACCGCCCGUCA